rnacentral:rRNA from 1 species
AUUGAACGCUGGCGGCAGGCCUAACACAUGCAAGUCGAACGGUAGCACAGAGAGCUUGCUCUCGGGUGACGAGUGGCGGACGGGUGAGUAACGUCUGGGAAACUGCCCGAUGGAGGGGGAUAACUACUGGAAACGGUAGCUAAUACCGCAUAACGUCGCAAGACCAAAGUGGGGGACCUUCGGGCCUCACACCAUCGGCAUGGCCAAGAUGGGAUUAGCUAGUAGGUGGGGUAAUGGCUCACCUAGGCGACGAUCCCUAGCUGGUCUGAGAGGAUGACCAGCCACACUGGAACUGAGACACGGUCCAGACUCCUACGGGAGGCAGCAGUGGGGAAUAUUGCACAAUGGGCGCAAGCCUGAUGCAGCCAUGCCGCGUGUAUGAAGAAGGCCUUCGGGUUGUAAAGUACUUUCAGCGGGGAGGAAGGCGGCGAAGUUAAUAGCUUCACCGAUUGACGUUACCCGCAGAAGAAGCGCCGGCUAACUCCGUGCCAGCCGCCGCCGUAA